rnacentral:SRP_RNA from 1 species
GCCGGGUGUGGUGGCUCAUGCCUGUAAUCCCAGCACUUUGGGAGGCUGAGGUGGGAGGAUCACUUGAGGUCAGGAGUUCAAGACCAGCCUGGCCAACAUGGUGAAACCCCAUCUCUA